GGGUUUUGACCUGAGUUUUAUCUUCUCUAAUGCUCUCAACCAUCAUGUAUCCGAUUGCAACAUAGGAUAUCAACAUGGCAAAUACUCGCACGCAACAUCUUGAUCCUAACUUCUGACACUUUUGGGGGUCCGCCUUUAUCUCCUCCAGCGUGAUUGCUCCACCCGCCCUCCUACCACAACGGCUGCACCCGAAGACCAAUCUUUU
rnacentral:lncRNA from 1 species